rnacentral:rRNA from 1 species
UGGGGAAUCUUGCACAAUGGGGGCAACCCUGAUGCAGCGACGCCGCGUGAGCGAUGAAGGUUUUCGAAUCGUAAAGCUCUGUCCUAUGGGAAGAUAAUGACGGUACCAUAGGAGGAAGCCCCGGCUAACUACGUGCCAGCAGCCGCGGUAAUACGUAGGGGGCGAGCGUUGUCCGGAAUUACUGGGCGUAAAGGGUUCGCAGGCGGCAUGGCAAGUCCGAUGUAAAAGGCGAAGGCUCAACCUUCGUAAGCAUCGGAAACUGUCAAGCUUGAGUGAAGGAGGGGCAAGUGGAAUUCCUAGUGUAGCGGUGGAAUGCGUAGAUAUUAGGAGAAAUACCGGUGGCGAAGGCGACUUGCUGGACUUCAACUGACGCUGAGGAACGAAAGCGUGGGUAGCAAACAGG